rnacentral:sRNA from 1 species
GCCAGGGCAUGGUAGUGCACACCUGUAAUCCCAGCAGCUUGGGAGGCUGAGGCAGGAGAAUCGCGAGUUCAAAGCCAGCCUCAGCCUCAGCAAUGGAGAGGCACUAAGCAACUCAGUGAGACCCUGUCUCUA